AAGAAUAUCCUUGGCCGUAGUGCAGGGGUGAUUCGAUGAUGUGGAUUAUUUAUUAAGCUGAGUCCCAGCGAUAAAAGUGAUGAAAAACCUUUUAAAUCAUAAAAGAUAGUAGAUUUUAUUCUCUACUUGACUCUUUUAAUGGAUUGUUUGUUCCGCUGCAGUUAAACUUGAUGGUUGUUAUAUUGUAUCAGUUUAACACUGUUGAAGGCUAACGAUAAUAUAUUCUGCAUUAUCUUAGUCGUAAUAUUUUCUACUGGGGUAGUUGAGCUCACCCUUUUACUUUUAUUGUUAUCUUCAGGAAAUGAGAACGUAGCAGGGACUAGUCAGGGAACGGAGUGACGGACCAGAUGAUAGCAUUAGUAGUCCUCACUAUUCUGUGAAAUAGUGUGAUAAUAAUUGUAAUGAAGACUCCUUUUGAGUUUGUAUAAUCUCUAGUAGACAAUAUUUGUAUUCAAACUCACAUCUUAUGUUUUGUCGUAUUAUACACGACAGUUGUAUUAUUAAGUUGUAUUUGAAUUUAUGUACCAUGUAAGUAGCGACCCAAGAUGGGUGACGUAUACCUAAUUUUGGGGGCGUCACAACCCACACACACAAUUCACAUGGUGUUUACAAUCUUUAAUUUAUAAUAUUUAUUUUGAAAAGUUUAAUGUGAUGG
rnacentral:lncRNA from 1 species